GAUGAAGAACGUAGCGAACGUGCGAAACGUAAUGUGAAUUGCAGAAUUCAGUGAAUCAUCGAAUCUUUGAACGCAUCUUGCGCUCCUUGGUAUUCCGAGGAGCAUGCCUGUUUGAGUGUCGUGAAUACUCUCAACUUCAACACUUUUUUCGGAAAGGGAGGAAGGUUGGACUUGGGUGUUUGUUGAAGUGCGAGCUUCGACUCAUCCUAAAUGCAUUAGCGAUCUGCCUCGAUCACACACAAUGUGAUAAUUAAAACUAAAGCAUUGUUUAAUGAUCAAGUCGAGACUGCUUCUAACUGUCGCAAGACAAUAACGUGCAUACAUUUGUGCAUGUCAUUUGACCUCAAAUCAGGUAGGACUACCCGCUGAACUUAAGCAUAUCAAUAAGCGGAGGA
rnacentral:misc_RNA from 1 species